GAUGAACGCUGGCGGCGUGCCUAACACAUGCAAGUCGAACGUUAGAGUGUAGCAAUAUGCUCGAAAGUGGCGAACGGGUGAGUAACACGUAGGUAACCUGCCGCGCAGAGGGGGAUAACGACUGGAAACGGUCGCUAAUACCGCAUGGUACCAUUUAGGGGGGACCCUGAAUGGUUAAAACCUUGGUGCUGCGCGAGGGGCCUGCGUCCGAUUAGUUAGUUGGUGAGGUAACGGCUCACCAAGACGAUGAUCGGUAGCUGGUCUGAGAGGAUGAUCAGUCACACGGGAACUGAGACACGGUCCCGACUCCUACGGGAGGCAG
rnacentral:rRNA from 1 species